rnacentral:rRNA from 1 species
UGACGGAAGGGCACCACCAGGAGUGGAGCCUGCGGCUUAAUUUGACUCAACACGGGAAACCUCACCAGGUCAGGACAUUGUCAGGAUUGACAGAUUGAUAGCUCUUUCUUGAUUCAGUGGGUAGUGGUGCAUGGCCGUUCUUAGUUGGUGGAUCGAUUUGUCUGGUUAAUUCCGAUAACGAACGAGACUCUAGCCUAUUAACUAGACGGUCCCGAUGCCCUCGUCAUCGGCGAGUAAGUAUCUUCUUAAGGGGACAGGCGGCUUAUAGUCGCACGAGAUUGAGCAAUAACAGGUCUGUGAUGCCCUUAGAUGUCCUGGGCCGCACGCGCGCUACAAUGAAGGAAUCAACGUGUGUCUCCCAGCCCGAAAGGGCCGGGUAAUCCGCUGAACCUCUAGCGUGCUUGGGAUUGUGGCUUGAAAUUAAUCACAUGAACGAGGAAUUCCCAGUAAGCGCGAGUCAUUAGCUCGCGUUGAUUACGUCCCUGCCCUUUGUACACACCGCCCGUCGCUACUACCGAUUGAAUGAUUUAGUGAGGUCUUCGGACUGGCGGGAAAUCUCUAUCGCUCCGGCGGUAUUGACGAACGCUGGGAAGAUGACCAAACUUGAUCAUUUAGAGGAAGUAAAAGUCGUAA